UACGUAGGGGGCAAGCGUUGUCCGGAUUUAUUGGGCGUAAAGAGCGUGUAGGCGGCCUUACAGGUCAGCUGUGAAAACUCGAGGCUCAACCUCGAGACGUCGGUUGAAACCGUAAGGCUAGAGUCCGGAAGAGGAGAGUGGAAUUCCCGGGUGUAGCGGUGAAAUGCGCAGAUAUCGGGAAGAACACCCGUGGCGAAGGCGGCUCUCUGGGACGGUACUGACGCUGAGACGCGAAAGCGUGGGGAGCCGAACGAGG
rnacentral:rRNA from 1 species